ensembl:lncRNA
CCCCGCUGUGGUGAGAACAGAGUUGACACUUCUUUCCUUUCCACUUACUGCGGCAAGUACCGCGAGGAAGGUUAACCCUCUCGCUGCUUGGAGGAUUAGAGGCACCGCGAGCGCCCUCAUGAGGGCGCGCCACGGUUGGGGGCCAGGUACCAUCUCAUCUAAGCCUCAUAGCAACCUACAAGGAAAGGGUGCUGAGACUCGGAGUGUUGAAGUCAGUCUCCUAAGCAAGUCGGAAGGUCUUCUGAUUCCACGUGGCUAUUUCUGCUGGAGGCGGGUAAGUGUCUUCAGGUCUUUUCAGAACGUAAGCCCUCUCUGGUUCCCUUCCCUACCCCGGGUUGCUAGAACUCUGACUGAAGGUAGGUACAGGUAAGGAGAGGGUGCAGAUUCCCAAGGACUAACUCCCAAUAGCAACUCCAAUGUUAACAGUUGACAUGUGUUGAACCCUUGCUUUGUGGCAGGUGUGAUGCUUAUGUGUGUUUGUGCAGCCUCAGAAUCUUUCUUUUGUUUUGUUUUUCUUCAGGAAGAUUAGCCCUGAGCUAACUACUGCCAAUCCUCCUCUUUUUGCUGAGGAAGACUGGCCCUGAGCUAACAUCCAUGCCCAUCUUCCUCUACUUUAUAUGUGGGACGCCUACCACAGCAUGGAUUGCCAAGCAGUGCCAUGUCUGCACCCGGGAUCUGAACCGGCGAACCCGGGCCGCCCAAGCGGAACGUGCACACUUAACCACUGUGCCACUGGGCGGCCCCCUAGAAUCUUUCUUUCUUUCUUUUUUUAAAGAUUGGCACCUGAGCUAACAGCUGUUGCCAAUCGUCUUUUUUUCUUCUUUUUCUCCCCAAAUACCCCCAGUACGUAGUUGUAUAUUUUAGUUGUGGGUCCUUCUAGUGUGGCAUGUGGGAUGCCGCCUCAGCGUGGCCUGACGAGCAGUGCCAUGUCCGUGUCCAGGAUAUGAACUGGCAAAACCCCAGGCCACUGAAGCGGAGCAUGCAAACUUAACCUCUCGGCCAAAGGGCUGGCCCCUCAGAAUCUUUCUUAACACAGUGCUUCAGGCAGCUGCUGCUACCCAAUAUGCGUAGGCACAGGAGUUCAGUUCAAAUGAACCAAUAUUAGUGAGCACCUACCAUGAGCCAGGCACUGGCCUGGGCCCGAAGGAUGCAGGGGAGAACCAGGGCAAUAUCCGGGAGGCAGACUGAGAUGACUGUGAUAAUGUAGGGGAGUGGCUAGAUUGUGGGGACGCAGACACGGGGCCCCUAGUGUCAAACUGAGGGGCUAGGAAAAGUUUCUCAGAGGAAGUAAUGUUUAAGCUGAUGACUGAGAGUUCAGUAGGACUUAACCACGCAAAGAAGAAAGGAUGGCGGGGAAGAGUUCUAGGCUGGGAGAAGCCUACAACCACAGAGGCCUGAAGGAGGGAGGAGAACAACCUAUCUGAAGAGCUUAAGUAUGCUAAUGUGGCAGAGGGGGGAGUGGGAGGAGGGAGGGAGAGGGCAGGGCCUCGACUCAGGGCACCCCAGGCCAGGAUAAGAGGUCUAGUCUCGCCCUGCCCUGCGGCACGGGUGCCUACUGAUCCAGCUUCCCACCCCCCUUCCACAUGGAACUUUCCUGUUUGCAAGACCCUCUCACAUCAGUGAGAGUCGCCCAAUACCUCUGAGCAGGAGGUGGAGCAGGGGUCACCACGCCCAUUUUGCAGAUGAAGAAACUGAAUCUCAGAGGUUACAAGGUUGGGCCAUUUUACCUGGCUGGUAAAAAGGGCAUUGGGGCUGGCCCCCAGACCGCUUCAGGCUGGUACUGAGCCAAGGGCCAGCACUAUUUGCAGGACAUCAGUGUGGGUUCUGGGAUGAUGGUAUGAGGUAGGGUAGGAGCACAGUCUGGUUUGGGGAAGCCCUGGGGAUACAGAGGGAGGGUGGGGAUUCCUCCUCCCCAAAGCUCCCAGCUGGAGAGGGUUGCUGCCGCUUCUGUCUUGCAGUCUGUCCCCAGUGACUGGCUGGGGGUGAGUCAGCCUGGAUGAAGUCACCCACUUCCGCGCAGCCUGUGCCCCCUGACCUGGGAGGCGCCUGCCAGGGGCACCAGUCGAGCUGGAGGACGGGUUGGGCAGCUCUCCAGGUCGCUCUGUCACAGCUGAUUUAGGGGGGCUGGAGGUGUCCGGAGCCAUCCGAAGCAGCUGGGCGUCUGGGGCUGCGAGGCCCAUAAGUCAUGCCGCCACCCGCCAUUCCCUGCAGUGCUCCCCGAGAGGUCUGUGAUGAAUCGCCAGGGACUGGGCUCAUCAAAAUCAGUUUAUGCCAAAGGGAAAUUAAUUUCUGUCUCUCUGAGAUGGGGUGUGGGGAAGGGAAGGGCAGCUUCAGAGGCAGGCCUGUGACAGCACUGCAGGGAGGGGACGGGAUCCUACAGGGUGGCCGUCGUGGUCCCUGGCCUAGAGGCCCUGCCCAUUCUACAGAGAGGGUGACUGAGGCUCCAAAGGAGCCUCCUAAUUUGGGGACAAGAACACAGAUUUUGUUUUAUUGUCUCUUUCUCCGCUUCUUCCCUCCCUUCCUCCCUUCCCCACAGGUAAGUAUUUACUGACCACCUGCUGUGUGCCAGGCAUGGUUCUGCGGUGGAGACGCGAUGCUGCAUGAAACACUCACAGUCCUGCACUCAUGGAGCAUACAGUCUGGCUGGGUAAGACAGGCCGACUGGUAAUAGAGAAAUGGGAAAGUAUCAGACGGGGAAGAAUGCUAGGUGAGCAUUAAGAUCGGGUGAUGUGAUCAGGGAAGGCCUCUCUGAAGAGGAGACAGGUAAGCUGACACUUGAGAAGAUAACCCUUCAGCUGUGAGGCAGAUUUUCUGAAAAUCUAGCCCUGUUGGGCUGGGGCUGGGGCUGGGGUCGGAGGUGCACUUCAGGGAAACGAAUCGAAUCAGCAGAUGUAAAGGCAGGGAGCUCCCCCCAAUCGCUCCCCUUGUGAGGCCGGCUCCGGACUGCACCCACCUGUGCGGCUCACCCUGGGGCCUGGCUGUGUGGGCGGCUGCGGGGCAGGCUGGGUAAAUGGCUCUGCUUCCUGGAAUGUCUCUCUCAGUAGAGGAAGCAUUCAGUAAUUUAAUACAUUAUUUUUAUUAGAAACAAGCAUGGCUUGCUUAUAGGGGAAUUCACAAGACCCUUUAAAGAUAAAACAGGAGAUGUCAAAGAAACCUUGGGUGGAGCAGCUGACCCUGACCCAAAGAUCUGCUUUCACUCUUCUUGAGUCCUGGGGUUCCUUGUGGUGAGGUAUGAGCAGCUGGGUCAGUCCUUUCCCGGCCCAGCUUUAUUUGGGUCCCUCUCUGUCAGGAGUCCUCUGUCACUCCCCAUUGCCCAGUAACAUGAACGCCAGCCAGUUCUCAGUUCUUGAAUGAUUAUCUUAGGCUGGGCAUACUGCCUGUCUGAAUCCUCAGAACAACGCUGUUAGGCAGAAACUAUUGUUAUUUCCAGUUUACAGAUAAGGAAACUGAGCCUUGGACAGGGGAAGAGACUUUUCCGAGGUCCUACAGCAGAUUAGUGGCAAAGCCGGGACUCAAACUUAGCUGGUGCCAUUAAUCACUACUGCUUCUCCCAUAGCUACAUCCUCACUCUUACCUGCUCCUGACCCAACUUCCCCUUAUCCUGUGCUCCACAGACUGAGCAAACAGCCCCUUUGCUGCUCCCAAACAUGCCGCACGGGUUCCCACCUCCGAACCUUUGCAUGUGCUGUUCCCUCCGCCUCGAGUCUCCUGCCUCCCAUCUCUGUUUGUUGCAACCCUAACCAUUCUUCAUGGUUUUGUUCAGCUUCUUCCUCUUCCGUGAAGUCAUGUGCUUACUCCCACAAACAAGGGGCUGCCCUUUAUCUCUCAUGCCCCGCAGUUCUCUCUGCCCUAUUCUCUCGGCCCUUAUCACAAUACUUUGUGUGCCCAGGGAUUGGAGUGGGACAGACCAGGGUUUAAGUUCAAGUCUCGUUUCUGUCAUGUAUGGGCUCUGGGAUCUUGAGAAGACAGCGACCUUUGUAAGUCUCAGUUUCUUCUUUGGUAAAGUGAGCCUAAGGUGGGGAACAAAUAGACAAUGAAUCAGAAACACUCAGCAUAGGGUCUAGUUAGUGCUGAAUCAAUGGCAACUGUUGUUACAUAACCUCUCCCUGCCUCAGUUUCUUCAUCUGUAAAAGGGGGGAAAUACGGUACUUCAAUGCUCUCUUGUAGGGUGGUCAUAAAAGAUGGCAAAGGGCGUCUGAAGUGCCUGGCACACAGUCAGUGCUCAACAGGAGAGGGCAGGUCCAGGGACUCAUCACAUCUCUCUCCCUCAUAGGCCCAGCCUGGGCUUUGUGGCUCGGAGCAUGUUUUUUCAGUUGAAGUUGAGGUAGAUUUGCAUUUCCAAGGGAUGUGGCCUCAUUCAGUCCAGGCUGCCCUCACACCCAGCCUGGUGGGAAAGGGGGAAAUGACUUGGCGCCCACAAAAUCUCCACCAUCAUCAUAAUCACAAUAAUUAAUUUUUUG